rnacentral:tRNA from 1 species
GAGGGUAUAGCUCAGUGAUAGAGUGCAUGCUUAGCAAGCAUGAGGUCCUGGGUUCAAUCCCCAGUACUUCCA